CCUACGGGUGGCAGCAGUGAGGAAUAUUGGUCAAUGGACGAGAGUCUGAACCAGCCAAGUAGCGUGAAGGAUGACUGCCCUAUGGGUUGAAAACUUCUUUUAUAUGGGAAUAAAACAGGGUAUGCAUACCCUCUUGUACGUCCCAUAUGAUUAAGGAUCGCCUAAUUACGUGCCAGCAGCAGCGGUAAUCCGGAGGUACCGAGCGUUAUCCGGAUGUAUUGGGUUUAAAGGGAGCGUAGAUGGGUUGUUGAGUCAGUUGUGAAAGUUUGCGGCUCAACCGUAAAAUUGCAAUUGAUACUGGCAGUCUUGAGUACAGUUGAGGUAGGCGGAAUUCGUGGUGUAGCGGUGAAAUGCUUAGAUAUCACGAAGAACUCCGAUUGCGAAGGCAGCUUACUAAACUGCCACUGACAUUGAUGCUCGAAAGUGUGGGUAUCAAACAGGAUUAGAUACCCCGGUAGUC
rnacentral:rRNA from 1 species